rnacentral:rRNA from 1 species
GAUGAACGCUGGCGGUGUGCCUAACACAUGCAAGUCGAGCGAACAGACGAUGAGCUCGCUCUCCUGCCGUUAGCGGCGGACGGGCGAGUAACACGUAGAUCACCUUCCUCUAUGACGUGGAUAACUACGUGAAACAGGUGCCACUACUGCAUAAUAUAUUCAACGGCUGGGUUCAAUAGUGAUACACGCCUUUCCCGUUACUAUUAGAUGGUGUCGGAUUAGCUAGUUGGUGAGGUAAAGGCUCACCAAGGCAACGAUACGUAGCUGGCCUGAGAGGAUGAUCGGCCACACUGGAACUGAGACACGGUCCAGACUCCUACGGGAGGCAGCAGUAGGGAAUAUUGCGCAAUGGGCGCAAGCCUGACGCAGCAACGCCGCGUGAGUGAAGAAGGUCUUCGGGUCGUAAAGCUCUGUUGUUAGGAAAGAAAAGAAGUAUAUGUAACUAUGGACGUCUUGACGGUACCUAAAGAAUAAGCCACGGCUAACUUCGUG